GACGAACGCUGGCGGCGUGCUUAACACAUGCAAGUCGAACGGAAAGGCCCUGCUUUUGUGGGGUGCUCGAGUGGCGAACGGGUGAGUAACACGUGAGUAACCUGCCCUUGACUUUGGGAUAACUUCAGGAAACUGGGGCUAAUACCGGAUAGGAGCUCCUGCUGCAUGGUGGGGGUUGGAAAGUUUCGGCGGUUGGGGAUGGACUGGCGGCUUAUCAGCUUGUUGGUGGGGUAGUGGCUGACCAAGGCUUUGACGGGUAGCCGGCCUGGGAGGGUGACCGGCCACAUUGGGACUGAGAUACGGCCCAGACUGCUACGGGAGGCAGCAGUGGGGAAUAUUGCACAAUGGGCCGAAGCCUGAUGCAGCAACGCCGCGGGCGGGAUGACGGCCUUCGGGUUGUAAACCGCUUUCGCCUGUGACGAAGCGUGAGUGACGGUAAUGGGUAAAGAAGCACCGGCUAACUACGUG
rnacentral:rRNA from 1 species